AUUCUUUUAGUAUAAAUAAGUAUAUUUAACUUCCAAUUAAAAGGUUUAAUUAAUAAAAAGAAUA
rnacentral:tRNA from 1 species